UAGGUUAACGAGGCGAACCGGGGGAACUGAAACAUCUAAGUACCCCGAGGAAAAGAAAUCAACCGAGAUUCCCCCAGUAGCGGCGAGCGAACGGGGAGCAGCCCAGAGUCUGAAUCAGCUUGUGUGUUAGUGGAACGGUCUGGAAAGUCCGACGGUACAGGGUGAUAGUCCCGUACACCAAAAUGCACAGGCUGUGAACUCGAAGAGUAGGGCGGGACACGUGGUAUCCUGUCUGAAUAUGGGGGGACCAUCCUCCAAGGCUAAAUACUCCUGACUGACCGAUAGUGAACCAGUACCGUGAGGGAAAGGCGAAAAGAACCCCGGCGAGGGGAGUGAAAAAGAACCUGAAACCGUGUACGUACAAGCAGUGGGAGCACCUUCGGGUGUGACUGCGUACCUUUUGUAUAAUGGGUCAGCGACUUAUAUUCUGUAGCAAGGUUAACCGUAUAGGGGAGCCGCAGGGAAACCGAGUCUUAACUGGGCGUUAAGUUGCAGGGUAUAGACCCGAAACCCGGUGAUCUAGCCAUGGGCAGGUUGAAGGUUGGGUAACACUAACUGGAGGACCGAACCGACUAAUGUUGAAAAAUUAGCGGAUGACUUGUGGCUGGGGGUGAAAGGCCAAUCAAACCGGGAGAUAGCUGGUUCUCCCCGAAAGCUAUUUAGGUAGCGCCUCGUGAAUUCAUCUUCGGGGGUAGAGCACUGUUUCGGCUAGGGGGUCAUCCCGACUUACCAACCCGAUGCAAACUACGAAUACCGAAGAAUGUUAUCACGGGAGACACACGGCGGGUGCUAACGUCCGUCGUGAAGAGGGAAACAACCCAGACCGCCAGCUAAGGUCCCAAAGUCAUGGUUAAGUGGGAAACGAUGUGGGAAGGCACAGACAGCCAGGAUGUUGGCUUAGAAGCAGCCAUCAUUUAAAGAAAGCGUAAUAGCUCACUGGUCGAGUCGGCCUGCGCGGAAGAUGUAACGGGGCUAAACCAUGCACCGAAGCUGCGGCAGCGACACUAUGUGUUGUUGGGUAGGGGAGCGUUCUGUAAGCCUGCGAAGGUGUGCUGUGAGGCAUGCUGGAGGUAUCAGAAGUGCGAAUGCUGACAUAAGUAACGAUAAAGCGGGUGAAAAGCCCGCUCGCCGGAAGACCAAGGGUUCCUGUCCAACGUUAAUCGGGGCAGGGUGAGUCGACCCCUAAGGCGAGGCCGAAAGGCGUAGUCGAUGGGAAACAGGUUAAUAUUCCUGUACUUGGUGUUACUGCGAAGGGGGGACGGAGAAGGCUAUGUUAGCCGGGCGACGGUUGUCCCGGUUUAAGCAUGUAGGCUGGUUGUCCAGGCAAAUCCGGAUAAUCAAGGCUGAGGUGUGAUGACGAGGCACUACGGUGCUGAAGUAACAAAUGCCCUGCUUCCAGGAAAAGCCUCUAAGCAUCAGGUAACAUCAAAUCGUACCCCAAACCGACACAGGUGGUCAGGUAGAGAAUACCAAGGCGCUUGAGAGAACUCGGGUGAAGGAACUAGGCAAAAUGGUGCCGUAACUUCGGGAGAAGGCACGCUGGUGUGUAGGUGAAGUCCCUGCGGAUGGAGCUGAGACCAGUCGAAGAUACCAGCUGGCUGCAACUGUUUAUUAAAAACACAGCACUGUGCAAACACGAAAGUGGACGUAUACGGUGUGACGCCUGCCCGGUGCCGGAAGGUUAAUUGAUGGGGUUAUCCGUAAGGAGAAGCUCUUGAUCGAAGCCCCGGUAAACGGCGGCCGUAACUAUAACGGUCCUAAGGUAGCGAAAUUCCUUGUCGGGUAAGUUCCGACCUGCACGAAUGGCGUAAUGAUGGCCAGGCUGUCUCCACCCGAGACUCAGUGAAAUUGAACUCGCUGUGAAGAUGCAGUGUACCCGCGGCAAGACGGAAAGACCCCGUGAACCUUUACUAUAGCUUGACACUGAACAUUGAGCCUUGAUGUGUAGGAUAGGUGGGAGGCUUUGAAGCGUGGACGCCAGUCUGCGUGGAGCCAACCUUGAAAUACCACCCUUUAAUGUUUGAUGUUCUAACGUUGGCCCCUUACCGGGGUUGCGGACAGUGUCUGGUGGGUAGUUUGACUGGGGCGGUCUCCUCCCAAAGCGUAACGGAGGAGCACGAAGGUUAGCUAAUCCUGGUCGGACAUCAGGAGGUUAGUGCAAUGGCAUAAGCUAGCUUGACUGCGAGCGUGACGGCGCGAGCAGGUGCGAAAGCAGGUCAUAGUGAUCCGGUGGUUCUGAAUGGAAGGGCCAUCGCUCAACGGAUAAAAGGUACUCCGGGGAUAACAGGCUGAUACCGCCCAAGAGUUCAUAUCGACGGCGGUGUUUGGCACCUCGAUGUCGGCUCAUCACAUCCUGGGGCUGAAGUAGGUCCCAAGGGUAUGGCUGUUCGCCAUUUAAAGUGGUACGCGAGCUGGGUUUAGAACGUCGUGAGACAGUUCGGUCCCUAUCUGCCGUGGGCGCUGGAGAAUUGAGGGGGGCUGCUCCUAGUACGAGAGGACCGGAGUGGACGCAUCACUGGUGUUCGGGUUGUCAUGCCAAUGGCACUGCCCGGUAGCUAAAUGCGGAAGAGAUAAGUGCUGAAAGCAUCUAAGCACGAAACUUGCCCCGAGAUGAGUUCUCCCUGAGACUU
rnacentral:rRNA from 1 species